AGUCAUAAGGGCAAAUGUGUAGAAAAUCGUUAGGUUUCGCCAAACAACAGUACAACCUAUGUAAUGGACAAUACAUUACUAUUUGAACACUUCGACUUACCAAAAUAACAAAAACAAACACACAAGCACAGUGGCAGAGAUGACCUUUCACCAAACGCACAAAACGAGAGAGACCAAUGCUUUCACCAAAACCAGAGACAGAGAGAUAGUGCUGCCUUUACCACUUCAAGAAACAAAUAGCAAUGAUUCACAACACAAAAAUGACCAAAAUAGAAACAGAGCAAGGGAGUGGGUUCACCGGAAUGGGUUCAUACAACGGAAUCCCAAAAAAUC
rnacentral:lncRNA from 1 species